UUUUUUUUUUUUUUUUUUUUUUGUCUUUUAGGGCCACACCGGCAGCAUAUGGAGGUUCCCAGGCUAGGAGCUGAGUCGGAGCUGUAGCCACCAGCCUACACCAGAGCCACAGCAACACAAGAUCUGAGCCAUGUCUGUGACCUACACCACAGCUCACAGCAAUGACAGAUCCUUAACCCACUGAGCAAGAUCAGGGAUCGAACCUGCAUCGUCAUCCUAGUCGGGUUCGUUAACCACUGAGCCAUGAUGGGAACUCCUACAUUCCCUAAUAUUACCUUUCAUUAUGGUCUAUCCCAAAAGGCUGGAUAUAGUUCCCUGUGCUAUAUAGUAGGACCUCACUGCUUACCUAUUCUAAAUGUAAUAGUUGCAUCUACCAACCCCAAGCUCCCAAGCCAUCCCACUCCCCCCCCCUUGGCAACAAUAAGUCUGUUCUCUCUCUCUCUCUUUUUUUUUCCCCCUUUAGAGUCGCAUCUGUGGCAUAUGAAAGUUCCCAGGCUAGGGAUCGAAACAGAGCUACAGCUCUCAGCCUACACCGCAGCCACAGCCACACCAGAUAUGAGAUGCACCUGCAACUACACCGUAGCUUGUGGCAAUAUCGGAUCCUUAACCCACUGACCUAGGCCAGGAAUUGAACCCACAUCCUCAUGGAUACUAGUUGUAUUCUUAACCCGCUGAGCCACAGCGGGAACUCCACAAGAACAGACUAUGUUUGUGAGUCUGUUUCUGUUUUGUAGUGGUUUUUUUUUUUGUAGGUUCAUUUGUGCCAUAUUUUAGAUUCCACAUAUAAGUGAUAAUCAUAUGGUAUUUGUCUCUUUCUGACUUUACUAAGUAUGAUUAAUUCUAAUUGCAACCAUGUUGCUGCAAAUUUCAGACUUUAUUUCAAAAUGGAGAAACAAUUUAAGCUAAUAUUCCAGAAAUAUAAUUUUCUAACAUUAUUAGAUGUUAAAAUAAAAGCACAGUAUCAAAAAACACCAAUCAAAAUCAGGGUGACAGAAAACUCAUUAACCCAGAACAUGUAUGCUAGCUCUCUUGGCACGUGACCUACCCCCUACCAGUCCUGAGUAAUAAGUAUUGUCUUUUCUCCAUCCUGUGCUCCAAAGUAAGGUGGACUACUUAAGAGAUCCAUGGGCUUGAGCUUGAAAGAUUCCAGGGGGCCAGGUGAAACUGAGCCUAAAAUGUGAGAAUUAACUACUGCGAUCCUGGUAUUAACAACCACAAGUGGUCAGGGUCACUCUAAACCCCUAGAGGACCUCCCAGUUGCCUUUUGGGCCAUAUGGCCUUGACAGAUGUAGAAAGAUAGAAAGAUACAUAGCUAGAUAGAACUAUAUAUGAGGGAUAUUGUUUGCUUUUAAAAAUCAGACUACCCUCAAAAAGAGAAGGAUAUAAGAUAUUUGAUAUUGGAGGGAAGUCCCUUACUUAUGUUAACAAAAAUGAAUACCCAUGAAGUGCUUUGAAUAAUGGCUUUUUUUAAAAAUAAUCUCAACAUGGAUUUAAUAAAAUAGAAAGGCCUGGGUUUCAGUCCUCAGUUCUGCCACUUACUAGAUGUGAGACUUUAGCAAGUCUCUUAAUCUCCAACAGAACGCACCUUCAUUUGUGAAAUGAGCAAGAUAGUCAAACUUAACCUACCAACCCAAAGGAUUAUUUCUAGGGUCAAACUGGUUACAAGUAAACAUGUAAAAUCACUCUAUAAAUUCUAAAGCAGUCUCCAUAUCAGAUAUCCAUAAUAUUAACAAGACAACCGGGUAAAGUCUGCAUUCACUUCAACACUACAACUUAAAGUGGGUGGCUAGUUUCCUCACACUCCCUUUGCAUUCCCUGUUCCUCCAGACAUGGUAAAACCUGGUUUCUGCAGAAUAUAAUUUAACUUGAGUUACUGGGAAACAAAGUAAUUAGACAAUGAAUAACAGCCCACACAGGAUACAGCUUAAGAUUUGCGCAAAAGAAUGAUGAGAUGUUUGAUCCUGAGCAGGUGUUCUCCCUAGAUUGUUUAACCUCAGGCUGACUGAGUUUGAAAAAUACAACAUGUUCCCAGAUGGGUAAACCCUGGGGCCAUAGGCUUUACGGAAUUGCAUAGGUUCACAGGAGAGCCUGUGGGAGGAGGUCAGGGAAAUUUUCCAAGUAUUAAGGGCCUGGCUGGAAACCUUACCUUGAAGAAGUCUUGUUGCUGCGCACAAGCCCCCUUCCUGAAAUAGUAGCAGGACAACGCCAGUCUGUGCACAACCUGGCUAGAGGCUAUAAAAUGUGGAGAGAUGUUCACUGGCCUCCGGCGGACUCUAGGCAGCAGAGCAUGCCGGGAAAGGUGCCGGGCAUGCCGGGAAAGGUGCCGGGCAUGCCGGGAAAGACGCGGGUGUCCUGGAACAUGGCUGUUCUAACCCUGAGAGAGGAAAAAUGCGAUGCAGAGUCCUGGGGCCUUUUCAUGACAGGGAUGGCUCAGGGGCAGUGCUUAUGUUCAGUUAUGUCAGAAGUGAGAUUGCCCUAGCAGUGUAUGUUUUAGAGAUGUUUUUACAAGGCAAGACGGCUUGGGUUGUUUACAACUAGCAUCUCUUCUCCAAGAUGUGUCUCCUCCUUUGGGUUUCCCUUGUACUUCAGCUUGAUCUAGAUGGCCCAAAGGGGACUGUUACCUGGGGUUCUUCCCACAGUUCCGAGUGUUAAUGACCCCCACCUGGGCUGACUUCCUCAUCCUGGCUCUUUAAGUCUUCUCUGCCUGGGCUCUUCUAAUUUUUUACAAUACAGCAGGGAGAAAUGUCUCUGAACUUUUAGUUUUCCACCUGAAAUGGAUAAUGCAGGCCCUCAGAAGUUUCCAAAAUUGUACUUUAACUCCUAGUGUAAGUUUAUUCGUGUUAAACAAAUUCAUUUUAUGCUUGCAUUAAUUUGGGACAAGCCUGGCCUUAUGUGAGUGGAUUAUGGAUGAAAUCCUAUUAAAUAGAACUCUAUCUUUGACCAGACUGACCACAAUAUGCAAACAAAUUGGAAUACGGCUUCUGUGUCAUUUUGAACACAACAAAGGAUAUAGGAUUUACACUUUUCCUUCUCUCUUGUGCUUGCUUUCCCCCCACCUUCCCCGCGCCGGCCCCCGGCUUUCUGUAUGACUGUGCCGGAGAUUGACAAGGCAUUUGAUUUUGUGGUCUGAUUUCACAUUAGAGCUUUUCUAAGUGCUAAGUGGAAGACUUUCCUAACUCCCAGGUGAAACUAUCAUCGUUACUGCAUUUUUCAUAUGUAAUAUAAUCUAGUUCAAAUUUUAGGACAAAUAGAUCCAUCUGUGCAAAUUAACCCCUGCAAUUCAGUUAGCUUCCAAACUCUGCUGUUUUCUUAAAAUCUGUUUUAAAAUAUUCUGUUAAAUGUAGUUUAAUAUACUUACAAAAUGUAUCUUUCUCGUUCAGUGCUUUGCAGUUUGUGGGAAGGAUUGUCUUUAAGUUAAAAGCAAUCAGAGUUGCUUUAUGAGAUUUACAAAAUAUAGCAGAAGAAUUGAAGGGAAUAAUUCAAGUUAGUGAGAAAAUAUUCAAUCAUUGACAAAAUAUUAAUUACAUCAAUAAGCAAGUUAUAAUGGAUUAUGUCUGAUAUUCUAUUUUAGAGUGAAUAUAGUAUAAUAUAAAACAUGUUUAUAAUCAUAAUCAUCACCUACUAAAAAUCUAUCACUUGUGUCAUUCUAAACUAACCAACAUUUUUAAAUGAAAUUUAAACUUUUGAGAUCACCAUUUUCAUGGAUAAAAAUAUAGAUGUAACUAUAGAUGUAGCUAUAGAUACAUCUCUGUAUAAAUGACCUCAGUGUUAAGUUUUAUGCUUAUUUGAAUGUUGCCACUUAAUAUUAAGGCUUUAAUAAUCAUUUAAAAAUUCCAGAGAAUGUUCCCUUCAAAAACAACCCCCCCCAAAACACAACUUUACAUGUCUUGUCUCUUCUUUGCAAUAUAACUUAUUUCUAUACUUGUUACUAUUUUUUUUCCUAACACGCAAUGGAAAUUAUGUGAAUUUUAUAAAAAAUGUUUUGAAAAGCACAAAAAUGUGUAAUAUGAGAGAUAACACCCUUCCACAAUAAAGGUUCCCUCCCUCACCCAAAAUAAUUACUUUGGCUGCUUGAUGCUUCAUCCUCCAGAUUUUUAAUCAUACCUAUACUAACAUAUAUUAUUCUUUUAAAAUAAAAUUAUACUUGAAAAAUUAUUCUGUCACUUUAUUUUUUCACUAAAUCAAUCUCAGAUACCUGUGUUAAUAUUUGUAUACUUAAUUCUUUUUAAAAGCCUAUAUAGUAUUCCUUGUGUAGAUGUACCAUAAUUUACUAAAACAACCCCUUACUAAUAUAAAUAUUGAUUGUAUGUAAUUUCUCCUUACAAUUCAGCCUCUUGAACUGUGUCCUUUUUUUCCUUUCCACUGCAAACAAGCACCACUCCCAAUUUGGUGUUUUCCAGGAACAGUUUAUUUCUUUUCAUUUGGCCUGUUCCAGGAACAGUUUAUUUCUUUUCAUUUGGCCUGUUUUCUGACUUUUAGGUUUUGUCCUUUUCUUUCUGAAUUAUCCUUUUUAUUCUCCAACUUUUUUCCCAUUUAGGACAAAGGUCCUCUAUACACAAAAUCUUUCCUCUCUGGUACCAGUAUGCUUUCCUCACUCUCUUUCCAGGAGUGAAGAGAAAGAGGCCCUGAAUAUCAGGUUUCUGAUAAGAAACAAGGGGCUGCUACCAGCAGGGAGCCUUGUCAAGAUCUCCCUCAUUCUGAGCACUCCAUUCCCACGUGAACAACAAUGAAUGGAGAUUUCACCCGCCCACCCCACAUUGUUCAAGUUGUCCUUUGCCCUUUCUGUCAAAUCUUGGCACCCAGGAGACAGCAGAACAUGUUCUGAAUUCAACCCUGGGGAGCCACCAAUCAAUAUCAUUUGACUCUUCUUACCCAUUUGUUGUUCUCUUUCUAUGCCUGACGUCCAGUGAGGCCUAAGCUCUUCUUUGUCGUGGCCCCUUCUUGGCUGGCCCAGCUAACCCCUAUAGGGUGGGAUGGCUCACUCCAUCCCCUAGGCAGAAGGCCACAGGCAGAGAGUAGAGCGAGGACAAGGUACAAGGCUGAGUCUUGAGACAUAGGUUCUCUUACUGCUUCAGCUGCAGCCUCAGAGGCUGUGGAGAAAGACUAUUUUAUCUUUUUGUGAUCUUAGUUAUCAAAUACCAGUUAAGAACAUUAAUUGUCCACCUAACUCACAGAAUACUGUAAAGAAUGGAAAUCUAUAAAAUGCUUUGAAAAGAAGAUUCCAAAGAAACAGUUUAUUAUUUUAUACAUCUCUUCUUUUUUGUGCAUAUAUUUUAACUGACUUCCUUUGCUUAUAUCUACAACUCAUUUCUGGUUUUUCCUGCUGUACGAACAUAUACUUGGCCAUGAAUUAAUUCUUCUUUAUGAAACACAGACAAUAUAUUUAUAUUUAUUUCCAAAGAAACUUUCUUUCAGCAGAGGUUUUUUUUGUGUUGUUUGUUUUUUUUUUGGGGGGGGUUAUUUUUGAAGGGAACAUUCUCUGGAAUUUUUAAAUGAUUAUUAAAGCCUUAAUAUUAAGUGGCAACAUUCAAAUAAGCAUAAAAACUUUAUAGAGAUUAAACUCCUAUCUGAUAGUAAGUUAGGUACUUAGAAAAUUAGAGUAAUUCUUCUAAGCCAUAAAUAAGUUGGUUAGAAAAAUCAAAACCCUGGAGUUUCUGCUGUGGCAUAGUGGGUUAAUAAUCUGAUGCAGUGGCUCAGGUUGCUAUGGAGGUGUGGGUUCAAUCCCCAGCACAGGGCAGUGGGUCAUAGGAUCCAAUACAGAUUGGAGCUAUGGGUCAAAUUCAGUCCCUUGCCUUGGAACUUACAUAUGCCAUGAGUAUAACAAUGAAAGAAAGAAAGAAAGAAAGAAAGAAAGAAAGAAAGAAAGAAAGAAAGAAAGAAAGAAAGAAAGAAAGAAAGAAAGAAAGAAAGAAAGAAAAGAAAGAAAGAAAAGAGAGAGAGAGAGAGAAAGAAAGAAAAGAAAAGAAAGGAAAAGAAAAACCAAAACUCUAAACCAACUCUGCAUUUGACUCUAGGCCAAUGUCUUAUUGCUCUGUAUUUGAACCUUCCAACUUUAGUAUUGGUGGAACUUUGAUGCCAAAUGCCAGCUGCCUUUUAAUAAUCAGAUAACAGAUUGUGGGAUGGUUAGAACAGCUCUACAUGACACUGAACUUAAGGGAAAAGUGUUUAAUGCUCUUCAGGUUUAAAGAAAAUUUUAGGAGUUUAAAUGCGACAGAAUUUCAGAAAAUCGGAGAUCUCAUCUCCUGUCAUAGUUCAUGGUAAAAGAAAAGGAUGAGAAAUUCUGUUUUAACUAUUAUGUAACAUUUUUUCAAUUAAAAAAAAUGAGUCUUGAUUAUGCAUGUGUUCUAUUUCUUUCCUUAGUUGAAAACAGCCCAUUUCUAAGUAUACAUUACUCUCACACACCCUCUCUAGUUCAGUCCUUCCUUCCCUGGUGCAUUUUAAUACCAUACCAAUGCACUCUAACAAUAAUUAUUGUUUGGCCUUUGAUUCUUAAAGACAGAGGAAAAUGCAAAUUUGUCACUUUAUCAGUAAGUGUAUUACUUCUAAUAGACUAUAUACAAUCUCAUAACUCAUCUCAGUCUGAAUAAUCAAGAUCAUUUGAAUUUUUUCUUUCUUUUCUUUUUCUCUUUUUGCUUUUUAGGGCUGUACCCAUAGCAUAUGGAGGUUCCCAGGCUAGGGGCUGAAUCGGAGCUGCACCUGCAGCCUACACCACAGCCACAGCAACAUGGGAUCCAAGCUGUGUCUGGGACAUACACCACUGCACACAGCAAUGCUGGAUCCUUAACCUACUGAGCAAGGUCAGGAAUCAAACCGGCGUCCUCAUGGAUACUAAUUGAGUUUGUUACCAUUGAGGAACAAUGGGAACUCUGAAUUUUUUUUUUUCCUUUUUACAGCCAUGUGGCAUAUGAAAGUUCCCAGGCUAAGUGUUGAAUUGGAGCUACAGCUGCCA
rnacentral:lncRNA from 1 species